UACAGAGGUCCCAAGCGUUGUUCGGAUUCACUGGGCGUAAAGGGUGCGUAGGCGGUCGGGUAAGUCUGAUGUGAAAUCUCACAGCUUAACUGUGAAACUGCAUUGGAUACUAUUCGGCUUGAGAGUUGGAGGGGGGACUGGAAUUCUCGGUGUAGCAGUGAAAUGCGUAGAUAUCGGGAGGAACACCUGUGGCGAAAGCGGCGCACUGGACCACAACUGACGCUGAGGCGCGAAAGCUAGGGGAGCAAACAGG
rnacentral:rRNA from 1 species